GCGGAUAUGGCGGAAUUGGCAGACGCACCGGAUUUAGGUUCCGGCGGGUGACCGUGCAGGUUCAAGUCCUGUUAUCCGCA
rnacentral:tRNA from 1 species